GAAGCACUACAGAAAAACAAGCAAGCAUGAGUAAAUGGGAUCAAAUUCCAAAAAAACAGCUUAGUCACAUUAAAAAUUCAAAAUCUUGAUUAUUUCUCUGAUCAGAGGCUAAUAGUGAGUGGAAUGGACUAUUUCCAUAGCAGAUAUAUUUACUUGUCAUAGCAAGGAAAGCACAGGUGGAACUAAUAACAUUAAAGAUGGGUCUGCUCCAUUUAGCCAUUAUUAGUUACACCUGUGGUCAACAAAUCAAAAUGUGAGAAAGACUGUAGCAUCAAAAUGUGAGGCUUUGAAGGAGUAUAGGCCAACUGUAAACUCUGGAUGUUUCCUCUGAGGGAAAUUAUUCACCAUCCAGAUAGUUUGGAUGUUCUCAAUUUAAACUAGAGAAAGACAACAAAUAAAAGUAAGCAUGUUGGAAUGUGGACCCAGUAAGUUAAACUCAGGAAAAUGAAAAAGAGCUGCUGGUGCAGGCUAAUGUAACUUGCUAAGCAUCUAGUGUAAGCUUGGUGGUACUUCAGGCUAUAGUUUAUAGUCUUAAAAAGCAUUUUUUAUCCUCCUGAUGCAGAAAAAGUGAAUGAAAAGCUUCAGUUUUGUACAAAAUCUUUCUUCAGCUGCUAAGAGAAACAACAUUCCUAUGAGUGUGCGGAGGCUACGGUAACAGAUCACAUCAGCCAGUGUGUCUCUGCAGACAGGAAUCAAUCACCGAGGAAAUCCCCUGGACACCGGCCACGUCCUGCCUUCUCUCCCCUCUCACUCGGCUUGUUUUAAAUCAAACGAACAUGGCUUGGCAACAAUGGGCAGGAUCAUACUGUAGUCGUCAUCACAACUGUAACUAUGGUCACACCAGCACAGUAACAUCCCCGUUCCGAAGCUUGAAAGGAACAUUUUUCCACUUUGAGCGGUUGCAGAAUGACAGGAAAAUUCUUUUAUGAAUCAAAGAGGAAGUUCCCAACAGGAGGAGCGAAAGACAGUUUAUUGUUCCAAAAUAGUUACAGUAAUAGUUACCUACGCUUACUAAUAAAACAAGAGAAUUUUUUGAGAAAUUACAUUUGUGGUGAUUGAUAGUUGGAAUUGAUUUCACCAGCUUCAGUACAUUUAUGUUAUCAAUGUUUUCCAAAUAUGUAUUUUAAUAAAGAAGAUACAAUCCAGAGGGGAAAGUC